GGGAAAGUAGGACAGAGAGGGAGAGAAUGAUAAAAGCUAACCUUUUUUAUUUUUCUUUUUCCUCAAGUGAACCAGAGAAAAAAAUUUGGCAUAAAAUCAUUAAGUGGUAACUUUAAAUUGAAACUUUGUGGUUCCAAUAUUUGAACAUUAAGCCAAAACAUUUGACAAUUACAUUGAAAGGGUAAGAAAGCAAAGUCCAAUAGAGGUCACCUUCUCCAAUCAAGAAGGCCCAAAAAUUCUUUUUCCCAUGUUUACAUGGAACCUAAAGGCUCAAAUCAUCAUCCACAAGAGGUGCCCACCUUCUUGAUUCCUCCCCAAAAGGCGAACAUGGCAGAGAACAACAAGCCUGCAGAGAUCAAAAACUUCCAAAUCAUGAUUGCGAGCAAAGAUGAUAACAAGAAGCAACUAGCACCCAAGAGAAACUCAAACAAAGACAGGCACAAGAAAGUUGAUGGAAGAGGUAGGAGAAUAAGGAUGCCAGCUCUAUGCGCGGCCAGGAUUUUUCAAUUGACCAGAGAAUUGGGUCAUAAAUCCGAUGGAGAGACGAUUCAGUGGCUGUUGCAGCAAGCUGAACCAUCGAUCAUAGCUGCAACUGGAACUGGGACUAUUCCUGCUUCAGCUCUGGCAGCUGCAGGAACCUCUGUUUCUGAGCAGGGAAACUCUGUUCCAGCAGGUUUGCAUACCAAAAUCGAAGGACUUGUGUCAGGUAUUGGGUCCAGAGAUAGGAACAACUGGCCAAUGAUGAGUGGAAAUAUAGAAAGAUCUCACAUUCCAAGUGGGGCAUGGCCUUCUAUUAAUGGAAUGGCAUCAGGGUUUGCUCAAGGUUCAGUGCAACUCACAUCAGCAUCAAAUUUUGGAAGUGAAAGCUCCAACAACAUCCCAAAAUAUGGGUUCCAUGGGCUUGAAUUCCCACAUAUGAAUAUGGGUUUUGUGAGUUUUUCCUCGUUGCUUAAUGGUAGCAAUCAGCAGGUUCCAGGUUUGGAGCUUGGGCUUUCACAGGAUCCGCAUUUUGGAGUGUUGAAUUCUCAAGCUUUUAGCCAGUUUUACCAGCAGAUGGGGCAGCAGCGAGGUGGUGUAGGCUCCUUGAAUCAGCAGCAGCAGCUUUCUGAUAAGGAUGAUUCCCAAGGAUCUAAACAGUAGCUACAAGCAUUAAAGAAGAAGAACAGCUCAAUUUUGGUCAGUACCGAGUCAAUUAAGUUUAAAAGCUGGUAGUCGAACCCCAUUAUGUUGUCUUCGUAGACGAGAAAUUAGAGAUGAGUUCUGAAGAGCACAAUGGCUUGGAAAUUGGAUUUGGUUUGCUUCUUGUUAAACUUUGAGGUGUGUUAUUAUAGUCUACAACAAUUUUGUUGGGAAAAUAUCGCUUGUUUGCUUUACAUGUCCAAAGUAGCGUUCUGUUUUUGACACUGUAGGGUUUCCAUUUUGAAUGUUGAAGUAGAAAUUUAGAAUGUUACAGAAAUUACUGCAUAUUUCUUAUGUGCGAUAGUCAUUCGGUAUCCUGAUGCGGCCAACAGAGCUAAUUUCAGAUAACUUUAGUAUUCUCUCUGUAAUAUUGGAUCUUUUUUAGCUUUGUCUACAUACACGAGAUUUCUUCCUUCAAAGAGAUGAUGAAGAAAAUCUUGUUUCAGAGCUAAGUGUUUAUAUUUGAUGUAUUAUCAAUAUAUAAGAUUAUAUAGUCAAAUUGCAUCAAACAUAAAUUCAUGAGAUUCAAAAUGACAAAUAUACACUUGUAUCCUGC